rnacentral:rRNA from 1 species
AGCGAACGCUGGCGGCAGGCCUAACACAUGCAAGUCGAACGAACUCUUCGGGGUUAGUGGCGGACGGGUGAGGAACACGUGGGAACGUGCCCUUUGGUUCGGAAUAACUCACGGAAACUUGUGCUAAUACCAAAUGUGCCCUUCGGGGAAAGAUUUAUCGCCAUUAGAGCGGCCCGCGUCUGAUUAGCUAGUUGGUGAGGUAACGGCUCGCCAAUGCGACGAUCAGUAGCUGGUCUGAGAGGAUGACCAGCCACACCGGGACUGAGACACGGCCCAGACUCGUACGGGAGGGAGCAGUGGGGAACCUUGCGCAAUGGGCGAAAGCCUGACGCAGCCAUGCCGCGUGAAUGAUGAAGGUCUUAGGAUUGUAAAAUUCUUUCACCGGGGACGAUAAUGACGGUACCCGGAGAAGAAGCCCCGGCUAACUUCGUG